UAAUACGGCCAUACCAGCAGAAGAACGCCCGAUCUCGUCUGAUCUCGGAAGCUAAGAAGGCUUGGACCUGGUUAGUACUUGGAUGGGAUACUGCCUGGGAAUUCUAGGUGCUGUGCUAC
ensembl:rRNA 5S_rRNA 5S ribosomal RNA